rnacentral:tRNA from 2 species
GGAGGCGUGCCGGAGUGGUCUAUCGGGCUUGUCUUGAAAACAAGUAUGGCGGCAACGUCAUCAGAGGUUCGAAUCCUCUCGCCUCCGCCA